GGGGUUUGCAAAUUGUUAUUUUCAGUAGGUGAAGGUGAAGUUUUCGCAUACUCAGUGGAAAAUGGAAAAAACCUUUGUAAAAACCUUCAGUCACUCAGUGUACAAAGUCCCUAAUACCUCAAGACUAUCCUUCAUGAGACAAAAAGGUGUGGGUGUGAACAGUACGACAUUUUGUAAAAAAAAAAAGAAAGUUGUGUAGAAAGUUUGCUCGAGUGGAACACGUGUUCUUGCAGAGUGGUCAACUUCAAGUUUAGUUGGCCACAAUUUUGCUUUGUACUGUGAGAUGAUUCCUCUCCAUCACAGUGACAGAAAGUCAUGCUGACAAGAUGUGGAAAAAGCACAACCCGGGAUGUGAUACGAGUUGACUCCAAACGGAAUCAAUUAUGAGGAUUUGUUUGCUUUAACUUUGUUAAACUUUGAAUAGAUGUGCUCGAGUGUAAGUGGACAGACUGACCUGUAUAACUCCAGAGGUUACGAAACCCCUCACAACAGACCAACAGAUGACUGAUACUCUGACGCCGGGCAGUGAGACAGCGUGAAUCUCACACGCCGCCUUGUGCAACACAGUCGGCGAUCACCUUCUGAUCCGCAAAAGGCCAAGUGUUGACUUUGACAAAGGCCAAAUCUAUUCUCACGCUCUUCCAAUUCCACUCCUUCCUGUCUGCCUCCUUUCCCCUCUUUGCCUGGGUUACUUAUUGUUUUUGCCUUGCAUUUGUAUUUGAGGUGUGGACGUGGCGCCCAUGAAGUCACCGGUUUCUGGAGCGCUACUGGGAAGCUCAUACUGGGUGACUUCCCGCCAAACUCCGAAAAAGGGACCCAAAGGUGGAUUGUUGAUGCAGCUCACGUUUAACGAGUGAGGUACACAAACAUUCUCCUCCAAAACUGAACAAAUCGUAUCUUUUUUUUCUGGCACAAGACUGUGAACAUGUUUAUUUCUGCAGCGGGUUUGGGCAUUUAAACAAGGGGGUCUGUGGGGAUGAGUCGCUUUUUGGGGCCGGCCUCGAGUGGCUACUUAGCGAAGUGACGUCUUCUUUGUAGUGAAGACUGCUGCAAAUCAUCAUCUCUAAGAAGCUGAAAACAAGCCAUUUUUUCGGUUGGCUAAUUACUUCAUGGAGACUGUAUUGUUUUCCCAGUCGCCAGAAAAAUGUAUAAUUAAAAAACAGACAUAUAUUCUCAAUUUCUUCUUACACUUUUCUGUGGUUAAUGCACAAGGUCUUUGUUGGGCUAUUUCCACUUGGCCGAGUGGCAAGACUAGAUGAAAACAUGUAUUGGCAUCAAAGUCUCCAGGGGAUAAAUAUCCAGUGUACCUGAAGCUCUCUGACUGGCUUUUACCAGCCCGUGUUUCUGUCCAGGCCACUGGAUUCUUCCAGGACAAAAUCCUUCCUCUGUGCCUCUGCUGGGAUGCUUAUGUGGCGCCACAAGGGAACCGUGAGACCAAGAGAGAGCCUCCGAGAGCAAAUUAUGUACAUUUAAAUGAACCGUUUCCUCGAGUCUGCUCAGCUCAGCGCUGAGAGGGAGUUCAGACGGAACGGAGCUGGAACAGUGGGUUCAGAGGAUGUGUGUGUGUGUGUGUGUGUGUGUGUGUGUGUGUGUGUGUGUGUGAUAGAGUGUUUCAGGAAUACGCACGGUGCAACCCUGAAUAGGGGUGUAAAGACUUGAGUGGACCCCAGGCCCUCGCCUAGCCUUAAUAGCUUUCCUGUCCACCUCCUCCUGCUGCAUGAAAGGUCCAUUUCCAUUCAGUGAGGGGAGGGGCUCGUUACUUUAUAUAUUUAUUUAUUCUGUUUUCUAUCUCUGCCCACAUGCACAGGCUUCACUUCACAGAGGUGCUGCUGCAAGGCUCACUUCAAAAGCCCCCCUAAACCGUCCUGUAGGGGCUCGGCGGCGAUGGAGAGACAAGGUUUCAGCAACCAUAGGUCCUGCUCACACAAACACAGACACACACACACACCUGUGGCUUUGAUUCACAUGCACACAAUGCAUCAUGGAGCCUCCUUUGUUUGUCAGGCUGUUCCAUUAUUUACCUCCUCUCCUUCCCCGUCCACCUGGGCCUUCGGAUGCCAUUUAUCAUCCCCGAAGGAACCUUGCGUCCGCUACAACUUGAAAACCUGAUGAAUAAGUAAACUAGUUCCUCCACACUUCCACUUCCUGUCCUUUCCACAGGAACAAAGACAAAGAGCCGAGAUUGCAGUGCUGCAGUCACACACACCUCACGCCACACACACACACACACACACACAACACGAAAAAUAAAUUCUCUCUGACCUCAAAAAAGCUUUCCUUUGAUUCCAAAAGCCUUUUAACUUCUUUCACAAUUUUUCUACAAGUCAUUAAAGUUAUUAAGCUACGUGAUAAGAGGAACUCAGAAAUGGUGGUAAAUCGUCCCCUGGCGAGAUUUCUCCACCUCUUCCUUCAUCCGCUGCUCUUAGACUAUCUGUGCCGAGCUCCCGUCCUCGCCGCUGCUUCCUCUCCGUCCGCCGGCCCGUCAGGCAGCGCCGCCUGAGCAUUCCCGUCCAUCCGGCGAGAUGGAGUCAGCCGCCUGUCCGAUCGCCUGUUAGUUAUUCAAUUACUCCACCCGGCUGGACCUCCUGGCCCAGGGCCGCAGGGGGAUCCCAGAGAAGAUGGGUGCGCAGUCCUGCGUGGAGCUGCUGAUAUCACGCUCAUUUCCCUCACAUCACAGAGCAGAAGGAUUACUAACAAAAAGAAUGUCGUCGUCACGUCAUUUCCCCUCGUGUUGGCAUGCGGCCCUCUGUGUGUUUGUAGUGACUGAUGUUGUGAAAGUAUUGCGCGGCCUCCCGACAACUUUUAGGGGGGGACAUACACCAACGAGGCACUAAGUAGCCUGGAUGAAAUAUUUGCUCCGCCGGCCAGGAGACCAAUCUAUUCUCUUUCAGCAAAAUACUGCCCAUGCGGCAAUAUCUUAUUUGUAGGCUGAGACCAGAGUCUCACAGGGACCAAUUGGAGCUGGUUCUGUCCAUCCCUGUGCUUUGUGUGCUAAUUACACGGGUCAGAAAGAAAGAUGGCUUAACAGUGAUCACUGACUCCCUCUCUUCCUCCCCCCUGUUUUUGUCUUUGUCUCAGAAUGCUCUGUGUCUCCACAGGGGGGCUCGCGGUUGAGUAGACCACCUCAGCUGACAAGAACUUUCGAAUCCACGAGCUGCCGUGAAUCAUACCGGGUGACACGAGCGAAUUUGCAUUUCCUGUGGCUGCCGUGUCAACGUUGGUGCCCCAGGCAGCACCGCCGGGUGCACACGGAGGUCACGUGAAGGAUCUGCCUUCUCUCCUUCUGCCAAAACCACCUCGAUCCUGGAUCAGCGUUUGUUUGAGGCUCCCUCCAUCUUCCUCCCCGUGUCAGCGCACGCCGCCUCUUGUGCCGAUAUCUUCCAGAGCGGAGGAUGCGGGCGGUGGAGGGGCGAGCGGCGGCUGCUCAUUGAACACGCGCAUUGACCCAGCACGUCACAUACACUCAAGUCAGCCGUCACAUUAUAGCUUUAAAUUGAUAACCUUUGCUUGACCUUUCCGUGUGAGGGGGUUAGAGGCGAGAGACAAACUCAUCUUCACGCUGUCCAGCUUCACAGAUAUUUCUGCUUCUGCAGGUUAAAUGGAUUUCUUCACUUUCCUUCUUGUUUCGUCAUCGAGAAAUCAACUGUGUGCCAGCAGACGUGGCUUGGCGUUAAAUACAGUCCAUCCAGCUAAUUAUGUAGCGAGAAGCUGCAGUCGAGAAAUUUAAAGCGGAGACAUUCCCUCCACCGCGAAUCUGAGCGGCACAUUUACCCAACGCGCAUAAUAACACAACGUGUUAUCACUCACCCGUGCAGAGUAAACGUAACUCAAUAUUCAUCAUCUCCAAGAGCACAUAAUAAACAAUUAAUGCAACGCACGCCCCCAGAAUAACCUAAUUAGUGUUUAAGUGAGAUGGCUGGUCUCUCUGUCUCCUCUCACAGAAGGGCAGGGGAGAGAGUGUGUGGGGGGGGGGGGGGGAAUCCACCAGGACAAGACAGGGAGCGCUGCCGUCUUCAUCAUUAUGAUCCACGAGAGGAUCCUUCGCAUUACGUGCACAAAACUCACAUUCCCAAGAGCGAGAAAAGUGUAUUGUCAGCAAACACGUGGAUGCGACCUGGACACACAACGAACCAACACCCCCAGGUGAUAAUUAGCGCUGCCGUUCAGUGACCUUGCGGGCGCUCGACCACCGAGAAGAAAAGAGCGCUGGGAAGUUUCAGGCCCACAUACGGCAUCUCACACACUUAUGGUUUGUGGUUGAUGACAGCAGAAAACACAGAGCUUUGAGCCUCAGAGGUAAAACGGCACCUCAAAUCACACAAAAAGUCAAACCCAACAACAGACCGCUUGGCAGUGGGGAACUAGUUCUCCCAGGCUUCCAGCUGUACUAUUGGACCAAGUGCAAAUAUAUAACUAUUGUUGAUUCAGGUUUCAUGGAUUAGAAGGACAAGAUUAUCGGGGCUACUUUUUUACACAGUUUAGAUACUUGGAUUACAUAUUCAGUCUCUGAGGUUUAACAAACCCUGAAGUGAUGUCUGCAAAUUGUUGAUUUCUUCAAACCAAAGUACGGACCCCCCCAGAAAAGCAGAAGUAAAUGUUUAUCAAUAGAAUUAUAGUUAACAACUAAAUGAUUUUAUUUCUAAAUGUUUGAAUCCCACCGACAUCCUUCUCGGGAUUUUUCUGUAAAAACAUGACAAUAUCAAACAUGAUUUUAAUCAAAACUGUCAAGAAGUGGGAUACAGUCAGUCAGCGACUUUAUAAAUCUGUGGGGUUGUUUUACACUUUAGAAUAAGCUGCGCUGCGUCUUGAGUCUGCUGGAUGAUCGACUGUCAGAAACUGUCACCAUCACUCCAGACGGCCGGCAGCCAUCGCUUCAGCUGAGCACGUGUUUAUCCAACAACCCCCGGAGUCCCUCGGGGUCACCUUCAGCCGGCUCGCCUCUCCACCGCUGUGACAGCCCCGCCGCCGCGGGGGGGCGUGCGUCUAUUUUGGCAGCGGCCCUUGACCCCCCGGGCCCUGAUCAGAUGUGGCCUGAUCGGCUGCGGGAAGGAAUCCCCGCACAGACGUGGCUUCGGGAGUGGGAGUGGGAGUGGGCCUCUGAUGGUGGCAGACCUUCGGCCCGGGGGAGGGCGGAGUCCUCCGACCAAACGCUGGGAUAAAAUGCAGGGUAAAGAAAAAAGACGACCCACCUGGUGCCGGCUCUCAGACGAGCAAGGACGGAGAAGCGCCAAACUGUUUCUGAAAAUGACACGAUAAUGAAAAAGGACGGAGCCGCUGGCUGACACGGAACAACGGGAUUACCAAUUCAACCCUAAAUUACCCUCUGCAACGCAGCCAGUCACCCACCCUCAUCUUAAGCACGCAGACAGUUCAAACUCCAGUGUUAUUGCAGAUGUCCCGCCCUCCACAGGCGGAUAAUUACGGUGUUAGUGAUGGGGUGAGGCGAAGCAGCGGGGGUGGGGUGGGGGAAAGAGUUGGCUGGUGGUGGAGGAGGGGUGGAGCAGAACAAUGAUUCAUUGCCACAGCGCUCAACAACACACACACACACACACACACACACACCUCCUCGGCAACCCGCCCGCUCCUCCCAACACCCUGCCGGCAGCUUGGCAGCGUGCCCGGGCGACAAGGUGACACCGGCUCUUUUUUUCACGUGCCGCAGCUCCACGCCACUCCAAUCCAACGGCGAGCAGCACCUCUGCUUCGCGACAGCGCGCCUGGGCUCCGCCCGGCGGGAGGAGGGGCGAAAACCUCCAAGCUGCGAUCGGACAUAAAUCAUUCGCCGGGUGACAAGUGCUGCCAAAGUUUGAUUGCUUCCCGGUUAUCUUGAAAGCCCUUGUUUCACUGUGAUAGUGGCGACAUGUGUUGAGCGUGAAGCAGAAAUGUGCAGACAAAAGUCAGUGUAUUUAAAGGCCCGGCUGCCCGAAUGAAUGAAUGAAUGAAUGAAUCUGUACGGCCGUGUGCUGUGCUGUAACGGAGCAGCACAAUAAGAACAAUGUGCUUUGUGGGGGAUCACUUUAAUGCUGCUUUUACCGGAGAGGCUGCUGCGCAUAAAGAGUAAAAAUACAAACCCAGCAUCCUUUGUGAUGCCGUUAAUUACAUCAACAGCCUCGUGGCUGCAGCUCAGAUAGUUCAACAAUGACAAUGCUGGAGUUUCAAUUUGUGUUUGCCUAUUCAACAAUCAAAAUCAAAGGACAGAUCCAUUGUAAAGAGAUCUGGCCCCAUUUCCUGUAAUUCAAACCGUAAACACAUGAGACAGCUGGGUAUUCAUUAACACUCCACAAUAUGUGAAUGCUUUAGUUUCUGGGCUCCACAGCUUGUGAUUCAUUAGGGAGAAACAGCUUUUCGGAUAAAAAUGAUUCACCGGAGAUGUAAAAUGACUUGGUGUCGCAUUUCAUUCAUUUGAAAUAAUACAUGAUUUAACUGGCAGUUCAACUAUAUGGAUGUGGAUCCUCAAGAACAAUAACAGCAACUUCAGCACUGCGUUGGAUUUUUAUUAUAGGGGUUGCUAAUAUGACACUCACCAUGACUCCCUAAUGAUUCUCUCUAAUGUGCAUCUGAAAUGCGGCCGUUGACGACGGCGCUGUCACUUUAACGUGAAUUGUUUAAGGGUCGACCCGGCAGUGAACUUUGCGUCUCCAUUUGGCCCCUUGGCAGCUGUAUCUCUUCUAUGUGCAUCACAAUAAUGGUCAAACAACCGAGACACACCUGAUAUAAAGAGUGAUGCUUAUGCUCGGGAGACGAUUCUCAUAGCCAGACGUGGGGAAUAAUUCACCUGAAUUAGCAGCGCUGCUGUUGAAUGUUCCGGCUCCGCACACGGGCAGCACAGCACUAAAUAUUUGACUAACCACAACGAAGGCAUGGGUUACAAUCUUAAAAUCUUUAUGGACCAGACAAGUGUUGAAAAUGCCCUUUUCUUGUUUCUCGGGAGACAAUAAGACGCUCAGAAUAACCUACUGUAACUCAGACCUCAAACAGAUGAAAGCCACGCUAAACUAGUGUGGGCCAAAAUGUUCUAUUCCUCAUUACUAACGCUUGGUAUUGGAUAAUGGUACCGUGAUAUGAAAACUCAAAUACUGCGGGGGUAACUAUGACAUACAGCAUUUGGUCGUCCUGACUAAAAAUAUGGUUGCAAUUUGUAGUGACCUUAUUUUUGGAGUAAUUAAGAUACUAUGUAAUUCAACGUCAGAACUUUUUUGAACAUUUGACAUUUAAUAUGUCUCGACAGGAUGUGAGCGGCACAGGCGUCUCCCGGGCUCAUCACAGGCUAGUCUUACAUUGUUUGACUCUUUAUUUACGUUAUUUCUACGAUCCCAUUUAUUAUGAAACCACAAUGUGGGUUUUAUGCCUACGGUAUAAAACACAAAGAAGCUUUAAUACAUUGGCUAAAAUAAAUUCAUUGUUCAGUUUCAACUGGUUCUUUGUCAGUAAAAUUAGCAUAUUCAUUUGUGACGUUGACGGGUUAGGUCGUUAAAUUAGUGGCCAAUUUAUCAAAACGAUUGCCAAUAGCAGCCAGACAACGGUAAUUUCGAGCCGCGCUUAAGCAAGUUGUUGUCGUGCCUGAAAUGACCAAACGUGAUCCAUUGCCUGGUCGCCUUAAAAAACUCAUUUGCUUCGCGCAGUGAUUUCCAAAGGUUCUGGAAGGCUCACACAAAUAGUUCAGAAAACCUUUCGGUAUUGUGGGAGAUCCAUUUCUCUAUUUAAUGAGAGCUGAUAGCCCAUAUCACACAGAGAACAUUUUAUUCGCCUUGGGCUUUCAAACAGUCAACAUUAACUUCUCAAAGUUAAGAUGCUUGAUGAUCGAAUCGCCAGGUCUGAGCUGCUGAAACUAGCUCUGAUCGCAAGCUAGAGACUUUGCACAAAGCAACGAGAUAUGACACUUUGUUCCGAUUGUCAGUGCACAAUUUACACAAACGGUGUGUGUGUGUAUAAUAAAUAGCAGAGAACUCAGUCAGCCCAAAAAAAAAAAAAAACACUGUCAUGCCCAUGGGCCCUUUGGUAAACAGUGCUGGGUCUAUUGAAUCAGUGUGCAACUUAGAGAAAAUACAAAUUAUGGGCUAGUGUUGUCAUUCUCAAAGACUCGAGACCCUCAAGAGGGUCGCAGGAGAUCGUCUUGUUUCCGUAAAUUUGGAAAUGUAUUAUUGAACAUCUGCAAUACACCUUUAGACACAUAUAAUUGCCUAAAUAUAUUAUAUUUGUAUGUAUGUAUAUAAAAAUGAACACACAAUAAAUACUUUAUCGUUGAUGAGACCAAAUAAAUGCAUUUAGGAAUUACCAUAAUAAUAUACAUAUUAUGGUAAUUCCUAAAUGCAUUUAUUUGGUCUCAUCAACGAUAAAGUAUUUAUUGUGUGUUCAUUUUACCAUGCCAGGUGAGGGGGAAAUCCAAUUCACUCUUCUCCCUCUAUACAGAUGAGGACUGAUGAGAAAAGAGUCGAGAUGGAAGUGGGUCCAACAAUGAGUCAAUUAAAAAAACAAACCUCUCGGCGGUAUAUUUAGUUUGCCGUAUCCAGCCUUUGAGAAACUGAGGAAAAACAGAUUGAAACAUUUCCAACAAUAAGAACGUAAGAAGUAUGAGCAGAAAAGGACUCCUGCCUUUGUUGACAGCGACUAACGAACGCGGAAGAGUAAGAAACGUCCUUGUCCCCACCAGAAGCUGAAGGGCGUUGUCUGUGUUUGUGUCCACCUGCAUGCGGGUGUGUGUGUGCGCGCACCUUCAGAUCUCAAAUCGAGCUAACUGCUUCGUUCCCACACGGGGAUGAACAAUAGCAAAGGGUCAAAGCCUUUCCGAAGCAAUCGGAUACCGCAGCUCCUCCACCUUCAACGGACGCUGCAGUAAUGCAGGACUGAUUGAUUUCUACCUAUCGAAUACAAACAGUGCUACCUUGUGGGAUGCAUUGGUUUUCUUCAGGGGGAUGUUGAUUAAAAAGUGUGCAAAGAGAGAGGAUCAAUUUGCAUCUGACAACUCAAAAAAGGUACAAGCAGAAAAUGCUAAUGAAGGAUUUGAAUCGAAACCCACGUGCACAGGAGAGGAGACAAUGCUGCAUGCAGCGGAGUGCCUUUUAUAAUUAAUAAACUUGGUCCAUGUGGACUUUUGUUGUCUAAAUGGAAAGACAUACCCUUGUGAGUGGGCAACGUAACUCGGCUAUGUAUAUAUAUAUAUAUAUAUAUAUAUAUAUAUAUAAUUCCCCCGGAUAAGUCACACACAUGACACACCAACUCCUCAUCAGUGGGAGGUGCUGUAACAGUUCGCCAACCGGAGACAUUCACACGUUGGUGCAUCUGGAAGGGUGCUAGCUAACGCCAACGACUUCCUAUCCCACACGGGAACUGCGGAUGACUUUGUACGUCAUUAGCCGUCUACACGAACCAACAGCCCGGCAUGAGAGACGCCGCGUCUCCGUCCCCCGCUGAGGCCUCCUCCUUCUCACGUCUAGACCAGCACCUCGGUUCUCCCAUCCUCAUCCAAUCCACCCGCCACGACACAGUGUGUGCGACGGCGAGAGAUGCCGUCGGCCGACAGACCUCUGUUGUCACAGGCAGCAGGUGCUGAUUACUAAGGAUGUCAGCCGCUGUGCCCCAUAAUAUCACAAAAGGGUCUGUGAUCACGUCGAGCGCGGGGAACCACGGGUGCGUACGCAGUCCCACCGGGUGAGGAGACACUCCUGCCACGGAGACGCCUAAUUGGCAGCCGGUAGAUCAAGUAGUUCUGUCUAAUUGUUUGCCUUUUUACAUCAGUCCCAACAGUGUGUGAUGUGUACGGGAAAGUUGCUCUGAACUCAUGAAAAAAAAAGUAAUAAAAGCAAAGGAGAGUUUGACGAAGCAUCCAACAAGUUAUUUUUCAAUCCUCAGAUUGCAACCUGAGCUGCCAGGCGGUUUGACACACUGAGCCGUCCGAGUCAACGAGAGAAUAAAGACAAGGGGCGGGCCCUUGCAAAAAAUUCUUUGCGGGAAAUGUAAUAAAGAAUCUUCAAUCCAAAUCCGGACAAGGGAAAAGAUCUUCUGCACCGUAGUGUCGUUCUCAAUGUCAAAUCACGCUUCAAUUUUGGCCCGCUAAAUGUUCAAAGAAUAUGCAAAAAGUCGUACUGCAAACCAUUUUUAAAUUCACAUCCAAACAAAUUCAUAGAUGUACCGCCUCCUCGCAAUGACCCGUUGCUGACCAUAAAAAAAGACCGAAAUAAUAUCUGCUUUUGGUGAACUUUCAUUUUGUCAAAAGCGCUGAGAGGGAAAAAGGUGUGAAAGAGCGGCGGCGAGGAGCCUGAGCGUGCAGAGCGCGUAAGCAGCUCCCUAAGAUGGUGGAAAAGAGGACACGUUCUAUUGGUGUUGCUUCUUAUUCUGCAGAAAAGCACCAAACUGUAUGCAUUUGUUCGGUGCGACAGUUAAUAGGGAAGCGGCCUCCAGUUCUCAAACGACACCUCCGAGUUCAACGGGGAACCAAUCACAAACAAUUUCACUGAUUGUAGCGA
ensembl:lncRNA